AGAGUAUGAUCCUGGCUCAGGACGAACGCUGGCGGCGGGCUUAACACAUGCAAGUCGAAGGAGAAGGAAGGAGCUUGCUCUUUCUGGAGACUGGCGGACGGGUGAGUAACGCGUAGCCAACCUGCCUUUAGCUGGGGGAUAACAUUCCGAAAGGGGUGCUAAUACCGCAUAAUGCAGCGGGGCCGCAUGGCCACAGUUGUUAAAGGUUUCGACCGGCUAAAGAGGGGGCUGCGUGCUAUUAGUUAGUUGGUGAGGUAACGGCUCACCAAGGCGAUGAUAGCUAGGGGGUCUGAGAGGAUGAUCCCCCACACUGGGACUGAGACACGGCCCAGACUCCUACGGGAGGCAGCAGUGAGGAAUCUUGCGCAAUGGGCGAAAGCCUGACGCAGCCACGCCGCGUGCCGGAUGAAGGCCCUAUGGGUUGUAAACGGCUUUUAAGCAGGAAGAACGACCGGAUUUCGAUCUGGUGUGACGGUACUGCUUGAAUAAGCACCGGCUAACUCCGUGCCAGCAGCCGCGGUAAUACGGAGGGUGCAAGCGUUGUCCGGAAUCAUUGGGUGUAAAGGGUGCGUAGGCGGGCGUCUAAGUCUGGGGUGAAAU
rnacentral:rRNA from 1 species